UACGGAGGGGGCUAGCGUUGUUCGGAAUUACUGGGCGUAAAGCGCACGUAGGCGGCUUGUUAAGUCGGGUGUGAAAGCCCUCAGCUCAACUGAGGAAGGGCGCCCGAAACUGGCGAGCUUGAGUGUCGGAGAGGAUGGCGGAAUACCCCAAGUAGAGGUGAAAUUCGUAGAUAUGGGGUGGAACACCGGUGGCGAAGGCGGCCAUCUGGACGACAACUGACGCUGAGACGCGAAAGCGUGGGGAGCAAACAGG
rnacentral:rRNA from 1 species